rnacentral:rRNA from 1 species
AACGAACGCUGGCGGCAUGCCUAACACAUGCAAGUCGAACGAGACCUUCGGGUCUAGUGGCGCACGGGUGCGUAACGCGUGGGAACCUGCCCUUAGGUUCGGAAUAACUCCCUGAAAGGGGUGCUAAUACCGGAUAAUGUCUUCGGACCAAAGAUUUAUCGCCUUUGGAUGGGCCCGCGUUGGAUUAGCUAGUUGGUAGGGUAAAAGCCUACCAAGGCGACGAUCCAUAGCUGGUCUGAGAGGAUGAUCAGCCACACUGGGACUGAGACACGGCCCAGACUCCUACGGGAAGCAGCAGUGGGGAAUAUUGGAAAAUGGGCGAAAGCCUGAUCCAGCAAUGCCGCGUGAGUGAUGAAGGCCUUAGGGUUGUAAAGCUCUUUUACCCGGGAUGAUAAUGACAGUACCGGGAGAAUAAGCUCCGGCUAACUCCGUG